ACAUGAUGAUCACUAAAUCAGUGUGGAAAUUAAACUACGUACAGCACUAUACUAUUAAAAGCAUGCAUUGCAUUGUCUAGACAUGAAGAAAAGGAGUUUAUCCAAAUAAGGGAAGGGUUUCAACAAGUGGUCAGUGGAAAAGGUUUUAUGCGAAUCACUCAUGAAUCUCGAUGUGUCUUGAUAGGGCAUAACCAUCUUGAAUCAAAAUACAUUUAUUUUUAUGUUUUAAAAUUAAGUAUGAAAGUAGAUGUGAUAUUUACAUUAAACACGUGUUCCCCAAAGGGAAAAUUAAAAUAGGAACACAAAUUUAAUAUUCCUCUAAGCACGUACUGAUUAAGACCUUCUAGACAUCGUCAAAACUGUUGUAUAAUUUAUUAAUAUACAUGAAAAUUUAGACCGUUGAAAAUUAA